GACGAACGCUGGCGGCGUGCUUAACACAUGCAAGUCGAACGGAAAAGCCCCCUUGUGGGGUACUCGAGUGGCGAACGGGUGCGUAACACGUGAGUAACCUACCCUUGACUUUGGGAUAACUUCAGGAAACUGGGGCUAAUACCGGAUAGGAGCUCCUGCUGCAUGGUGGGGGUUGGAAAGUUUCGGCGGUUGGGGAUGGACUCGCGGCUUAUCAGCUUGUUGGUGGGGUAGUGGCUCACCAAGGCUUUGACGGGUAGCCGGCCUGAGAGGGUGACCGGCCACAUUGGGACUGAGAUACGGCCCAGACUCCUACGGGAGGCAGCAGUGGGGAAUAUUGCACAAUGGGCGGAAGCCUGAUGCAGCAACGCCGCGUGCGGGAUGACGGCCUUCGGGUUGUAAACCGCUUUCGCCUGUGACGAAGCGUGAGUGACGGUAAUGGGUAAAGAAGCACCGGCUAACUACGUG
rnacentral:rRNA from 1 species